rnacentral:rRNA from 1 species
GCUCAGAUUGAACGCUGGCGGCAGGCCUAACACAUGCAAGUCGAGCGGUAACAGAGAGUAGCUUGCUACUUUGCUGACGAGCGGCGGACGGGUGAGUAAUGCUUGGGAACAUGCCUUGAGGUGGGGGACAACAGUUGGAAACGACUGCUAAUACCGCAUAAUGUCUACGGACCAAAGGGGGCUUCGGCUCUCGCCUUUAGAUUGGCCCAAGUGGGAUUAGCUAGUUGGUGAGGUAAUGGCUCACCAAGGCGACGAUCCCUAGCUGGUUUGAGAGGAUGAUCAGCCACACUGGGACUGAGACACGGCCCAGACUCCUACGGGAGGCAGCAGUGGGGAAUAUUGCACAAUGGGCGCAAGCCUGAUGCAGCCAUGCCGCGUGUGUGAAGAAGGCCUUCGGGUUGUAAAGCACUUUCAGUCAGGAGGAAAGGUUAGUAGUUAAUACCUGCUAGCUGUGACGUUACUGACAGAAGAAGCACCGGCUAACUCCGUGCCAGCAGCCGCGGUAAUACGGAGGGUGCGAGCGUUAAUCGGAAUUACUGGGCGUAAAGCGUACGCAGGCGGUUUGUUAAGCGAGAUGUGAAAGCCCCGGGCUCAACCUGGGAACUGCAUUUCGAACUGGCAAACUAGAGUGUGAUAGAGGGUGGUAGAAUUUCAGGUGUAGCGGUGAAAUGCGUAGAGAUCUGAAGGAAUACCGAUGGCGAAGGCAGCCACCUGGGUCAACACUGACGCUCAUGACGAAAGCGUGGGGAGCAAACGGGAUUAGAUACCCCGGUAGUCCACGCCGUAAACGAUGUCUACUAGAAGCUCGGAGCCUCGGUUCUGUUUUUCAAAGCUAACGCAUUAAGUAGACCGCC